GACCGUCAAGUGGUUGUUGAG
rnacentral:miRNA from 1 species